rnacentral:lncRNA from 1 species
AUGAUUGAUAAUACAGCACAGCUACUAGUAUUGUAUUACAGAGAGCUGCUAACUUUGAACUAUUAUUUAAACUGGUAUCAGAAGUACAGAGAUAUACAAUAUGGAUGUAAAUGGAAACGUCCAAUCUGUUUCAAAGGACAUGUGAUGUACAUGGAAUUCUGGUGAUCACAGAGAACAAUCUCCCACACUGAAGAUGCUUUCAGAACUGUCUAUUCUCAGAGCCUUUACCAAUAACAAGCUGAAUAUGGUUAUUACAAAAAGAAGACCUAGUUUUCACAAAGAAAACUUAAGAGACAAUGGCUAGAAUUAAACACCAGCUAGAUUAAAGCUACUGAAGGACAGCAGUCAUUUGUUCUUCCUUUGGCCUACUAUGCUGCUUUAGGAAGUGUUCUUUCUUACUAGAUACACAGAACAAGACUAUCUACAAUGAUCAGUGCCUGUAAUAUUGCUACAGAUGGAAUAUUCUAACUCUGGAAUAGAGCCAAGGGUUUGUGGGGGAAAAAAAGACUACUUCAGACAGCUCAAAACUUCAGGAACAACAAAACAAGUGCAUAGCGACUAACCAGAUUUCUUCUAUCAUGGAAAAGUGUUCUGAAGGAGAUGGCAUUAAUGUUAGUAUUUGAGCCUGGGCACAGCACCAGUAUGCUUGUCUGAGCUGUGGAGGCAACUCUGGUAGGCUUGAAAUUCUUCUCAGUGACAAACCUGUUGUAAUAAGGGUAAAUACUGUUCUUGCAAGUAAAAUAGAAUAUGCAACAAGUUUCUAUUAAAGAAGAGGUGCAGGUGACAUCUUUGUGCUAUGCUUUGAUGCCAGCCUCCUACUGUCAUUGGGAAGGGCUGACUCAAGAGCUGCUGCAUAGGCACAGCAUGUAGAUCAAUAUAUCUGCUUUUCCUAUGUAUAAUUAAGGCUCCUGCUGACUUUCAUCUUUGUUUCCUGAUGCACUGGUGUUAGAAACCAACAUCAUGUUUGUUAUCUCUAAAGUUGACUGUUCAUGCAGUGAAAUGGCUCCCAUCUGAGAGGAACAUACUGCAAAAAAGAAUGUCCCCAGUUGGAAGGGACCCAUAAGGACCACUGAGUCUAGCUCCAGGCUCCACACAGCACCACCCAAAAUCCAAGCCCCAUGUCUGAGAGCGCUGUCCAAAUGCUUUUUGAACUCCGGCAGCCUGG